CCCCAGUGAGCGGCCCACGGCAGACCCGAGACCAGGCCCGCUUGACCCGUUGGAGGUAGUUCACUGGUAGCUGCAGGGCCUUGACUGGAUAUCCCAGGCAGAAGGUGUCAUGCUGGUCCUGUGCUGGAUGCUGCUGGGGCUGAAAAAGGAAAUUAACAACAAAAGUUCCAGAAGGAGCGCUUGAAGUUCUGUACAUGAAGCCUAAAGAGUGAGCUAAGGACAAGGAAACCACACUGAACAGAUCAAGGACGAGACACAGAUGUUUGAUAUUUUGCUUCCAAAUAAUCAGUGGUUGGUCAUAACUUUUCUUCCAAGGAGCGGUGGCUGUGUGGCGCUGGAGUGAAUUUGAGGAGAU
ensembl:lncRNA